rfam:Canis lupus familiaris chromosome 15, whole genome shotgun sequence.
GCCUGGGUGGCUCAGUGGUUGAGCGUCUGCCUUUGACCCAGGCCCUGAUCCUGGAGUCCUGGGAUCAAGUCCCACAUCAGGCU